CGGGACGGGUGAGUAACGCGCGGGUAACCUGCCCUGUACAGGGGGAUAACAAUCAGAAAUGACUGCUAAUACCGCAUAAGACCACAGCACCGCAUGGUGCAGGGGUAAAAACUCCGGUGGUACAGGAUGGACCCGCGUCUGAUUAGCUGGUUGGUGAGGUAACGGCUCACCAAGGCGACGAUCAGUAGCCGGCUUGAGAGAGUGAACGGCCACAUUGGGACUGAGACACGGCCCAA
rnacentral:rRNA from 1 species